rnacentral:lncRNA from 1 species
CUGACCAAUUGUUGAUCGAUUUUUUAAAGGGACAAAUGUGUAACUUUACAUUUUCUACCCACCCAAAAUAAAAAAAAUAUAUAUAUACUCUACCCACGCAAGAAUUUAAAAAAAAAAAAACAAAAAUAAAAUCACAACCCAUCACCAUCUCCAUCUUCUCCAAAAUCAAAACCCCUCCACCCAACCACCGAAAGCCACCACUACCUACCCAAUAAUCGUCGAAUUCUCCUUGUCCCAGAGAUCAAAAACCCUAAUUGACCCAUCAGCAGAAAUCGAAGCAAAAACCCCAACACCUCCCCAGGCAAUAUCAUAAACCUCCUUACCACGAGCAAUCAAUUGUCCACCACCUCCUUAUCAUUAUCCCAAAUCGUACAAGUAGUAUCAAUACUAGAAGUCCAAGUAUCUGAUAUUUUCCAGAGACGGAGAAAAUUAGAAACCAUUCGAUAUCUGCCAGAGGUGGAGAAAAUCAGAAGCCGAAGCAAGAAGGUCAGGCCCUGGCACUCCUUAUUGGGUAUGAAAAUGAGCUUCGUUGAUGGGUAUGGGUGCUCGAAGGAUAGUGUCGAGUCAUGUCAGAUCUCUCCGUUGGAAUCAUCAAGAUGAACGAUUCUGACCGGGUGGUUUUACUGUUCCAAAAGGCUGGGUAUGGCGAGGCUAUAAUUCUUGUCCUUGCGAACACUCCAAUUCAUCAGGUGAUGGUGGUGUUGGCUACCGACGGCGAUUGUGGUGGUUAGGGAGAGGGGUUUUUAUUUUGGAAAAGAAGAAGAAGGUGAUGGGUUUGUGAUUUCAUUUUUUUUCUUUUUUCUUUUUAGAUUUUUGAUUUAAUAGAAAAAUAUGUUUUAUCUAAAAUACCCUUGUCUUAUUUGAGGGAAAUAAUAAGACUUUAUUUAUUUAUUUUGGGAGUCAACUGAAGAUUUUGGUAGUCAAAC